rnacentral:rRNA from 1 species
AUUGAACGCUGGCGGAAUGCUUUACACAUGCAAGUCGAACGACAGCACGGACUUCGGUCUGGUGGCGAGUGGCGAACGGGUGAGUAAUACAUCGGAACGUGCCCAGUCGUGGGGGAUAACGUAGCGAAAGCUACGCUGAUACCGCAUACGAUCUAAGGAUGAAAGCGGGGGAUCGCAAGACCUCGCGCGAUUGGAGCGGCCGAUGGCAGAUUAGGUAGUUGGUAGGGUAAAGGCCUACCAAGCCGACGAGCUGUAGCUGGUCUGAGAGGAUGAUCAGCCACACUGGGACUGAGACACGGCCCAGACUCCUACGGGAGGCAGCAGUGGGGAAUUUUGGACAAUGGGCGCAAGCCUGAUCCAGCCAUUCCGCGUGCAGGAUGAAGGCCUUCGGGUUGUAAACUGCUUUUGUACAGAACGAAAAGGCUCUGGUUAAUACCCGGGGCUCAUGACGGUACUGUAAGAAUAAGCACCGGCUAACUACGUGCCAGCAGCCGCCGUAA